AGAGUUUGAUCCUGGCUCAGGACGAACGCUGGCGGCGCGCCUAACACAUGCAAGUCGAACGAGCGAGAGAGAGCUUGCUUUCUCAAGCGAGUGGCGAACGGGUGAGUAACGCGUGAGGAACCUGCCUCAAAGAGGGGGACAACAGUUGGAAACGACUGCUAAUACCGCAUAAGCCCACGGCUCGGCAUCGAGCAGAGGGAAAAGGAGCAAUCCGCUUUGAGAUGGCCUCGCGUCCGAUUAGCUAGUUGGUGAGGUAACGGCCCACCAAGGCGACGAUCGGUAGCCGGACUGAGAGGUUGAACGGCCACAUUGGGACUGAGACACGGCCCAGACUCCUACGGGAGGCAGCAGUGGGGAAUAUUGCACAAUGGGGGAAACCCUGAUGCAGCGACGCCGCGUGGAGGAAGAAGGUCUUCGGAUUGUAAACUCCUGUUGUUGAGGAAGAUAAUGACGGUACUCAACAAGGAAGUGACGGCUAACUAUGUGUCAGCAGCCGCGGUAAAACGUAGGUCACAAGCGUUGUCCGGAAUUACUGGGUGUAAAGGGAGCGCAGGCGGGAAGACAAGUUGGAAGUGAAAUCCAUGGGCUCAACCCAUGAACUGCUUUCAAAACUGUUUUUCUUGAGUAGUGCAGAGGUAGGCGGAAUUCCCGGUGUAGCGGUGGAAUGCGUAGAUAUCGGGAGGAACACCAGUGGCGAAGGCGGCCUACUGGGCACCAACUGACGCUGAGGCUCGAAAGUGUGGGUAGCAAACAGGAUUAGAUACCCUGGUAGUCCACACUGUAAACGAUGAUUACUAGGUGUUGGAGGAUUGACCCCUUCAGUGCCGCAGUUAACACAAUAAGUAAUCCACCUGGGGAGUACGACCGCAAGGUUGAAACUCAAAGGAAUUGACGGGGGCCCGCACAAGCAGUGGAGUAUGUGGUUUAAUUCGACGCAACGCGAAGAACCUUACCAAGUCUCGACAUCCUGCGACGCACAUAGAAAUAUGUGUUUCCUUCGGGACGCAGAGACAGGUGGUGCAUGGUUGUCGUCAGCUCGUGUCGUGAGAUGUUGGGUUAAGUCCCGCAACGAGCGCAACCCUUAUGGUCAGUUACUACGCAAGAGGACUCUGGCCAGACUGCCGUUGACAAAACGGAGGAAGGUGGGGAUGACGUCAAAUCAUCAUGCCCUUUAUGACUUGGGCUACACACGUACUACAAUGGCGUUAAACAA
rnacentral:rRNA from 1 species